AGGAUAUUUGAGAGGAGCUGUCCUUAGUACGAGAGGACCGGGAUGGACGGACCGCUGGUGGAUCUGUUGGCUACCAAAGCCAUGGCAGAGUAGCCAAGUCCGGCAGGGAUAAACGCUGAAGGCAUCUAAGCGUGAAGCCCCCCUCAAGAUGAGAUAUCCCAAUAAGUAAGACCCCUUAGGGAGUAUGAGGUAGAUAGGCUGGAGGUGGAAGUGCAGUAAUGUAUGUAGCUGACCAGUACUAAUCGGUCGAGGGCUUAUCCUG
rnacentral:rRNA from 1 species